GAUGGAUGAUUGGGUCAAGCAGUUUGAGGAGCUUGCUGGCUCUCAGGUACUUCUCUAUUUCAAUCAUUUGGGUGUUGAAAUUAUUUUGUGAUGAAAUUAUUUGAAAGUGUUUGUACGUUGAAUUGUUGAUGUUGCAUUCAAGGUUUAUUGAUGUGUUUGUUUUUGUUGCAGGAAAAGUUGGCAUAUUUUAGAAUAAAAGAGCUUAAGGAUGUUCUCACUCACUUAGGUCUUUCAAAGCAGGGGAAGAAGCAGGACCUUGUUGACCGGAUAUUGGUUGUUUUAUCUGAUGAUCAAGUUUCUAAAUUGUGGGCAAAGA